AGUUUGAUCCUGGCUCACAACGAACGCUGGCGGCAGGCCUAACACAUGCAAGUCGAGCGCGCCUUCGGGUGAGCGGCGGACGGGUUAGUAACGCGUGGGAACGUGCCCUUCUCUACGGAAUAGCCUCUGGAAACGGAGAGUAAUACCGUAUACGCCCUUUGGGGGAAAGAUUUAUCGGAUAAGGAUCGGCCCGCGUUAGAUUAGGUAGUUGGUGGGGUAACGGCCUACCAAGCCUACUAUCUAUAGCAGGUUUUAGAGGAUGAUCAGCAACACUGGGACUGAGACACGGCCCAGACUCCUACGGGAGGCAGCAGUGGGGAAUCUUAGACAAUGGGGGCAACCCUGAUCUAGCCAUGCCGCGUGAGUGAUGAAGGCCUUAGGGUCGUAAAGCUCUUUCGCCUGUGAUGAUAAUGACAGUAGCAGGUAAAGAAACCCCGGCUAACUCCGUGCCAGCAGCCGCGGUAAUACGGAGGGGGUUAGCGUUGUUCGGAAUUACUGGGCGUAAAGCGCGCGUAGGCGGAUUAUAAAGUUGGGGGUGAAAUCCCGGGGCUCAACCCCGGAACUGCCUCCAAAACUGCUAGUCUAGAGUUCGAGAGAGGUGAGUGGAAUUCCGAGUGUAGAGGUGAAACUCGUACAUAUUCGGAGGAACACCAGUGGCGAAGGCGGCUCACUGGCUCACUACUGACACUGAGGAGCGAAAGCAUGGGUAGCGAAGAGGAUUAGAUACC
rnacentral:rRNA from 1 species